rnacentral:lncRNA from 1 species
AGAGCAAACAGCCCUGCUAUCCCUGCUGCAUAGUACAGCCUGCCAGUCCCAUCAUUUCCCAGAAGGCAGCAGACAGAAUGAAGAGGCAAAAGGGGAAGUGCCUACUUAACACAGCUCAGGGAUGACAACCAGGAUGGUGUCGCUGAUGAUGAUGAUGAGAAGCUCUUCUUCCUGGAUAUGCGGUGCUUUGAUGUGCUGGCUCUGACUAGCUCUGACCCUGUGUUCCCAAGACCCAGGGAGCCUUUGAGGACACCUCGGGGGGAGCAGGUCAUAAGCCAAUGACUCAUUCGUGUUGGGUUGUGGGGUGAGUGGUAACCUCCAAAAUGUGCUCCUGCUCCCUCCCUGCAUGGGAAGUGAAGCCAACCGAGGCAGAGGUGGCCUGUCUGGGCCAACCUUUCCCUCAAGGUGGCAGAAAUGCCCCCAUCAGAAAUGCUCUUUUAGAGCAAACAUUGUCCCCUCCAGGAGCAUCUUAAAAUGUAAAUAUGCUGGGACAAUGUGUGCCUUCUGUGUUCCGGGCCCUGAAAACACUGCAAGAGGAGAAAAGCUACAGCCUCUACCCCCUUAUUUUCCUGAAGGUAGACUGGAGAGUGCAGAGGCUUCCCCCACAUUUCAGGCUCCCCUGCGGAAUGAGAAGCAGCCUCUCGUCCCCUUGUCAGUGCUGAGCCCAUAGGGGUGGUAGCCAACACGAGAGGCAGCGAAGCCUGUUCAAACUUGUAUUUAUUUUCUAAGAGGUCGGGAUGAGGGCAUGGGGAUGGGGAUGCAUAACUUGGGUUUCGGGAGGAGCCACAGACCUUGGGGAGAAGGAUGGAGCCUCCUGCCCUCAGUCGUGCUGCUAGUAGGGGUGAUUCAGGGUGUGCUCCAUGAUGGUCCGAAGCGCCAUCCACGUCUCCUGGGCCGUGGGGAUGAUCUGUGUGGCCGGCAGCAGGAAGCCAUACUGCCCAGUGUCCCGGAGCUCAAAGCUGAAGGCGUACUUGAUGCCACUGUCAUAGGCCCAGUCGACGGUGAUCCCACUGGCCACAUCUAGAAACAAAAGUUCCAAAAUGUGCCCCACAAAAGGAAGAAGGGGAUGUGGCUGCAAGGUACAGAGGCAUCCUGGGUGGAAAGUGAGCCCUGGGAGCCAAACCCCCACCCACCCCAGGCCACACCAGGCUUCCUGCCCAGGCCUCAAACAGGAUCACAUCUGUGCACCCAGCCCAUUCUCUACUCCUGCAAAAAGAAAGCUCCUGCAGGCUACUAGGCUUAGGAACCUUGCAGUAAGCCAGGCACUGGGAGCUGUGCACAAAAGCUGCCAAGAAACAGCUCCCUGGGUACCACUGUUCACCCUUCUAUCCAGUGUGGGAGGCAGCUUUGGGCCAGCACAGCUAGAUCCUUGGCACUGCCCUGCAGCCAGCCCCAGGUAGAUGUGGUGUCUGAAGCAGGGCCAGGGGAGGCUCACUCACAGAGGGUGGUGCUGAUGCUGCCAAAAAUGUACUCGAUCCCAUGGACCUUAUACAAGGCCUCCACCGCAUCCUUGGCAAGAUCGUACUGCAAGAUGACAUUGGCGGGGUGAAAGGCAGGGGCUCCCCGGGGCUCCCACACACUCCCCCACCCUCACCAGCUGGUGAGAAGCAUGGAUUUAGCAGUCCUGGAAGUUGAAGGUGGAGAUGGCCCUUGUGAGAAGGGAGCACAGCAUUUCCAGCUUUGAACUUGAUCACACGUGAGAACAGCAAGCUCCCCCUACCCCACCCCCGCACCAUGGGGUCAAUCAGCCCAGACCCCUGCAUUCAGAGUAACAACCUGAGCCCUCUGGGAGUAUGACAGAUAUGGAUUUUCCUGUGAAGCGGUCUCUUCUCCCCAGGCCCUAAGCAGCCAGUCUCACCAACUCCCUCUGAUUUGAAACGGGCUCCAGCAAUCGGCCGUAAGGGUACAUAAGCAUCUGAGAGUAGCUGUGGAUGGAGAUCAGAGCCUUGAAGUUGCCAUGGGCUGUGAUGAAGUUCACUAUGGCAGCCACCUCCGGCUCCGACUGAGGGGAGGGCCCGUGAUAAGUUUCUGAGCAGGGGUUGCUGUUAGAACCAUUUCCUGGAAGUAAAAUAAAGCCACCCAAAGAGUCAAAUCCCCACGUGCGACACAGACGGUGCUCACAAAAUACCUGUGUGUUCCCCUACAUUUCCCAGCCUCCUUUGCAGUAUGACUGAGGUCAUGUGACUACUUUGACCAAUGGAAAGGUGAGCAGAAAUGACACGGCACUUCUGGGUUGAGAUUGUUAAGAGCAAGUGUGACUUCUCCAUGCUCUUUUCUGUCUGUGUGGCUGGAAGCAAAAAAAAAAAAUUCUAGAUAGAAACAGCCUCCUGGAUCCCUCUCUCACUGCGGAAGAAAGCCGCCAAGGAGAGUCACCUGUUCAUGUUGGACUUUGUGUGCAUGAAAAACAAACUUUCAUUGUGUUAAACCACUGAGAUUGGGAUGGAUAUUUGUUACUGCUGCAUCCUCUAAUCUAAUAUGUCAGAGGACUGCAGCCGCACCAUACCCUGCAGUUCUGAAGCCCUGCAGGGAGCCCCCUCGGCUUGUCCUGUGGUCCCUUUAGGAAGGUGGGCCUGGCUCAGAAGUUGCAUCCAGAGGAAACUGUAAGUCUCUGCCCCAACCCUGGCUUCCCCUAGUGAGCAGCAAAUGCCUUUAGGCUGACCGUUCCUGGGUGUGCCAUCAGUUGAGGGCUCAGACUCGGUGUCAGCUGAAGCUUUGCCACAGCCAUGGCCCCAGGUGCGCCAUGAACUUGGGGUCUGGGGAUAUGGGAAACCAAUACGGGAGAAUAGUUCCCCAUAGUUGCCUGAGGCUGUUCUGGGAGCCAGAGGUGCAAAGAAGUCUUUGAAAAUUCUUCUUGGGGACUUAAGAUGAGGGAGAGAACAAAGAGGAGCAGGGCUUUUAUUCUUUUCCCAAGUUUCAUUUGUUUCCAUUUCCCCCUGGACUCUUUGCCUUCGCCCCAUCUCUGUCUUCCUCUUCUGCUCCUCCUCUGCUUUUCCCUUAUUCCUGAGGGGAGGGUUGGGCUGUGCUGAGCUGGUCAAGACUUUGUAGGCUAAGGACACACUUGGAAGGAGUCAUCCCAGUUUCUCCUCUCUCUCCUCUUCCCUGGAAUGUUGGCACCGUCCAGAGAUCAGGGAUCGCCUCAACUUCUGAAGUCUCCUGAGGAGGCCACAGCAUUCCUCUUGACUCCUGGGGCUGGGGGCUGGCCCAUGGACCACUUCAGAUGAUGCUCUAGGAAUGCAGCACACAGGAGCUCCUGCACCUGCUCCACUUGAUGAAUGACAAACAGCAACAGAUGCGCAGAGCGGGGGGAGGUUGAAGGCUUUGUCUGCCUUUGCGGCCCACGCACAGAAAGCGGUUCCCCUGCCAACGACCAGGUGGCUUUGCCCAAAUAUGGAGAAACACUUUAGGCCAUUAGUUCUGGUUUGAGCUAAGCAGAAUAAACUAAUCUUCCCCUGGCCAAAUGGGAAUUGGCUGCCUGCAUCUCUGACGUUCACAGUCAAGGUCCUCUGAGUCCGCCUGUUUCACAAGUACCUGCUAAUGGAUUCAUUAGCUAUUUAUUUUUCCUUCUCUAAAAAUGUAAUUUGUAGCAAGGGGAAAUCUCUGGAAGGACAUGGUAAAUUAUUAAAAGCAGUGAUCUUUGAGUGGUGGGAUUAUGGGAGCUUUUUGCCCCCUCUGGGCUUUUUUCCAUAAUUGUUUUGUACACUGUGUGUAUAUGGAUAUUUUUUUUCCUGUGGUGAGACCCACAGAAGUUAUUUUCUUUAAGAGGUAAUUUAUCUUUCUACUAGCCAGCCUAUCUUGGGAUCCAUGGGUACUCACUCCAGUCAGUGCUGAGGGGCCACAUGGAUGCCCCCCCUGAGGCAAGCGUCUGUUCAUUUGGAGGUGGAAAUGCCUAAUUUUGCAUGGUCUUGUUCCAUUACACAAGCAGUUACAACCCCCACGCUAGGGCCAGGGACCUCACUCUCAGUGCUUUGGGGCCAUCCUUAUUUUUCAGUGAGAACAGACCCCAAGAAGCCAGAUUUUAAAAGCAAUGGGCAUCCAGAUCUAAAAUGUUCUAUCUCAUUGGUUGGGACACCAGCCUAUAGGUCUGAUUAUCAACAGCAAUGACACCGUCCCCUGUGGAGCCAAACCCUGAGCCCCCGGUGAAGUGCAGAUGCCAUGUCUGGGGGCCGAGGGCUGUGUCUGUUCUGGAAUCUCUGUCAUGACUGGACCCAUCAAAUUGUCCUGCCCAUCAAAUUGCUGUAUUUCCAGGGUCCAUGGACCUGUCUCUGAGCUUUCUGGAGGC